UCAGCAGUGAUGCAGGCCAGGGUUGCCUGUGUUCUCAGCAGUGAUGCAGGCCAGGGGCCACAGUCAGGGAUGGAGAGACCCUUGUCCUUAGCAGUGAUGCGGGCCAGGGACCACAGCCAGGGAUGGGGGGGACCCUGUGUCCUUAGCAGUGAUGCUGGCCAGGGUCCGUAGCUGGCCUGCUCCCCGCCUCAAACCAGCAUCCUGGCGUGUGGGGCAGGAAGGAGCCUGGGGGACCCAGGAAGCCUCUGAGGGAGACAAGGGACCACCCCAGGGGAGCCCAGGAUGGAUCUUGAGGCAGCCCCAGUACUGCCCCCAGAGGGGACCCAGGACCACCCCCUAGAAGGACCCAGCACCCACCUGAGGGCCAGCGGUGGAGGGAUGGGGUCAGGAGCCUGGUGCACCCUGCUUGGCCAGGCCCAGGCCCAGGCCCAGGCCUGUGGCAAGCCGCUGCCCACCCGGGGCCCUCCUGGAACCCUCAGCUGGGUCUCAGAGUUAUCCUUACAUGGGAGCACAGGAGUGUCCUGUAAGAACCCAACCUACCCCGGGGAGGGACCAGCCCUGGCGAGGGGAUGCUGAUGGCACCCUGCUUCAUACCCAAGAGGGGCUGGCCCCGUCCCCACGGCCCUGGCCAGGAAGAAGUGUGGACCGGGCACUGGGCAGGCCCAACCGGGGAAAGAGCAGCCAGAGAGGGCCACCCAGUGGGAGCCCUGUGCCUUUCCAGGAAGGGCCCAGGUCCAGAGGAGGAGCCAAGGCUCUACCCACAGGGGCCUCCAUGGAGGGAGGAGGGAGCCAGAGUGGCAUGUGAGGCUGGACCCUGCACCCCGCACCUGGGGGCACUUAUCCUGAGGUGUGCUACCAACAGGGCCCCAGCUACCAGCACCAGGGAGCCAAAGAAGGGGCCGGCCGGACAGGGUCUGGAGCUGGGCCCGGGAGGACAGCUCAGGCUGUGGCAGGAGGGAGGGUGGGGAAGAUGGGAGUGCUCAGAAUCUGCUCUGUGCCUCCAGGCAUCCCCCCAUCCCUGAUCCAGUGCCAGGCCUCUAUGUGUUCUCACAGGGUACCUCAGGCUCUUCCGGGCAAUGGCCAACAUCUCUCAUCCUCAAUCAGAAAGAGGGCGAGGGGUCUCUGGAGUAACGGUCAUGCCAUUCUGCAGCCUUAUCUCAUGACUGAUCACUUCCAAAAGCUCACAUUCUAAUCCUGUCACCUUGGGUGUGAGCAUUUCAAUGUGUGAAUCUCCGGGACACACAUUCAGACCACAGCACCAGGGAGAAAGGAAAGGCUGGAAGGAGAGCCCACUCCCCCACCAGGAGCUUGGCCCUGAGCUGCCCCAGCCAUGCAGAAGUGUGUGUGCAUUGUGUGUGCUCGAAUACAUGCCCCACCCUCUCCAGGACAGGGCCGUGGAGGGUGCAGAGAAAACGGCUGUGCGGGCCAGCCCCUUGCAGGUCCUCCUGGACCUGGGAGAAGCGAUGCCCCCACAGCCUCCAGGAGCGGCCUGCCCUCCUGACCCUCUUCACUGCUGCCUGCUCCGCUGCAUCUCCAAACACCACUGCCAGCCAUCAGGCUGGAUUUUCUGCCUCCUUCACAGGACCCCUGUUGUUCCUUAUUUCCCCGCAAUGUAUUUGUUGAAGACAGUGAGAUAUUCACCCUACAGAGCUUCUGGAGGCACUGUGCCCCGGGUGUCCUUCACACCACGGGAGGCCACAGGACGCAGUGGCUGGCCAUGGAUCUUGCCUAUUCCUGGCUGGAAUCCACUGCAAAGAGAACUUUCAUGGAGCUGCUGUCUGUUCAAAGGGGUACAGGUGGAGGAGGAGCAGACACAAUUUCCUGAGGAAAGCAAAUGUCACUGUGUCCCUUAAGUUGCCAGCUUCCACAGGGAUGUCCCACCAUGAGGCCUCCUCCCAGGAGCUUUCACAGCUGGGUGGGCUGGUAUCCUGGGUGCAGUUUAACUGAAGGGGGUGUUCUCACAGCCACCUCCCAAGGCCUGGGGGAUGGUGGGCCCAGAGGCCUCAGACCUGCACCUGCUGCCCAGGCGAUGGGGUGGCUGGGCCCCGGGUGCCCAUGAACUAUAGGCAAAAAAAACUAAGUCAGUUCUGCAGGGUUUCCAGAACAUUUUACGAUCCCCAAGUCGUAUCUGAACAUGUCAAGAAUCUCUGGUGUCUUGGUUUGGGUGUAAAGAUGAAGUUCUUUCCUCCUCUGUAUUCUAGGAGGAAAGAGGGUUUUCAUUCCCUUCUGAAUGUUAGGAGGGAAGGCAUUUUCCAUCCUUGACCAGCUUGUAGAUGACACACAUUCAGCAAACACACACUCCCAGCAGCACCGAGAGAACAAACAGGUGUGUCACGCUUUUGCGUUCAUAAGGCCUUUUCAUGUCAGUAUUUUAUUAGAUAUUCCCAAACAAGGGUGUUUUCUCAUCUUAUAGAAGAGGGGCCUGAGGCUCACAGGGUGAAAACAACUUGCUUAAGCCUACACAGCGGCUGUGCUGGCAACGUUUCUCCCGGUAUAAAUGAGAAGCAGCCUUUGUGGCCACAGAGAUGUGACUGCUAAGUGCAUUGUCCCACCCUGAAGGAGAUUCUUCCUCAACAAAAGGACAUUAGUGCAAAGACUGAUGAAGUCUGUAGUUUCGUGGGGUUUGUUUUUUUUUAAGCGUAAGGGGUUAAAUAUUAUGUAAUUAAUAAGGCAGUUGUGAGGAUGCAACUGCCAAAAGUUUGAAAAAAGCUGCCCAGAUGGAAAUCUGCUUGCAUUUGUGCAAGCAGAUAGGUGAGGAAUUUUUAUUGUACUGCCGUGUCCCCUACCUGCCCCAGCUUUAUUGAGUUAUAAUUGACAAGCAAAAAUUGUUUAAAGUGUACAAUGUGAUGUAGCCUUUUUGUUUUGUUUUGUUUUGAGACAUAAUCUUAUCACCCAGGCUGGAGUGAGGUGGUGCAGUUUUAACUGCGCAGGCUCAUGAUCCUCCUUCCUCAGACUCCUGAGUAGCUAGAACAACAGGUGUGAGCCACCAUGCCUGGCUAAUUUUUUUAUUUAUUUAUUUUUUAAGAGGCAGGGCCUCCCUGUUUCCCAGGCUGGUCUUGAACUCCUGGGCUCAAGCAAUCAUCCCGCCUCGGCCUCCCAAAGUGAUGGUAUUACAGGCAUGAGCUACUGUGCCUGGCCAGAAAUGGUGAAUUAUAAUUAAAGGCUUCUGUAAGUCAUGCUGUCAUAUUUUAAUGGAAAUACCUCCUUUCAUUGCAGCUGGGUUGCUUACAAAUACACUACUUCAAAGUAAACUUUCUCUAGUAACAUAUCAGGAGCAAAGUAAAAUCUACUUGGAGCAAGUAAAUCUGACUGCUACCCCACUAUUUUGAAGCAUACACAGAAAGCUGGUUCCUGGACCCCCACAUAUACCAAAAUCUGUGCAUACUCAAGUUCUACAGUCGGCCCUGUGGAACCCAAGUAUAGGACAAGCCGGCCCUCCCUAUACACCAGCCUCUGGUAACCAUCAUUCAACUCUCUACCUCCAUGAAAUCAACAUGAGUGAGAACUGGUGAAACCCAAACAUAGUCUCGAGUUUAGCUUUUUUUUUUUUUUUUUUUAACUGUAAGAGGCUAAACAUUCUUGAGGAGGACACAAAAAAAUCUGAAGACAACUGCCCAGAUGAGAAUCUUGCACUUGCACAAGUAGAGAGGAGAGUUAGUUUUUAUACCAUCACAUCCCCAAUCCCAGCUUUACUGAUGCAUAACAAAUAAAAAUUCUACAUAUUUAAAGUGUACAAUGUGAUGUUUUGAUAUAUGUCUACAUAGUGCAAAUUAGCUCCCACAUAGGAAUGACAACAUGUCAUAUUUGCCUUUCUGUGCCUGGCUUAUUUCACUUAACAUAAUGGCCUCCAGUUCCAUCCAUGUUGUUGCGAAUGACAGGAUCUCAUUUUUUGAUGGCUGAAUAAUACUCCAUUGUGUAUAUGUAACAUGUUUUCUUGGACAUUCAAGUUGAUUCCAUAUCUUGGCUAUCAUGAAUAGCUACAGUGAACAUGUACCCUAGUAACAUAAUGGAUAGACACCACACACUUAGGUAGCAUAAAACAAAAGAAAGUUAUUUUCCUUACAUAUUAGAAACAGACUAAAGCUAUUUUGAAAAACACCUAAUUUACAAAGUUAUUCAUGUGUAUUAAAUUGCACCAUAAAAAUAACAGGGCCUUUGUCUUCCUGGGAUUUUUCUCCUGGGCCUACCUCAGCACAUUCCUCUUUAGAUCAACGUUAGGCUACUUUGUAAAGCUGGUCUGACAACAAGAAAUGCUAUUAUGGAGGAAAAGAUCUCUUAUUUCAAUUCUCUUGUUCUCCUGAUUUGAAAUGGGUUUGUCCAUUUUGUUUCUAUUUCAAGACCAAGGGGUAGAAGCUCUUGGUUUUUCAGUUUGUGCUGAAAAAAAAAAAAAAUCUAUUCUAUGGUGACAAAAUAUAUUUUUAAAAUAAUCUAUUACAAAAUUAGGCAAAGUCACACCAAAAAUGGGAAAUAAAAUGGAAAAUGCUACCUUUUUAGAUAAGGAAAAUUGUAGAGAAAUAAAUGACAAUUACUAAACACGAUCAUUUAUUUCAUUUUUACAUUGUAGAAGGUUUAUUAAAAUAAAGAGUUGGUGCACAGCCGCUGUGGAAAACAGUAUGAUGGUUCCUAAAAAAUUAAAUAUAGAAUCCCCAUGUGACCCAGCAAUUCCAUCUAUCAGUAUGCAUCCAAAAGAAUUGAAAGCAGGGUCUCGAAAAGAUAUUUGUACACCCAUUUUAUUUUUAAUUUUAAAACAUUUUUUAAUAGAGACAGGGUCUCACCAUGUUGCCCAGGCUGGUCUUGACCUCCUGGGCUCAAGUGAUCCUCCUGCUGCAGCCUCCCAAAGCACCAGGGUUACAGAUGUGAGCCACCACAGCCGGCCCACCCAUAUUUAUUUCAGCACUAUUCCCAACAGCCAAGAGCUGGAAGCAACCCAAGUGUCCAUCAACAGAUGAGUGGAUGAACAAAAGGUGGUGGAUACACACAAAGGACAGCUAUUCAGUUUAUUUUAUUUAUUUAUUUAUUUAUUUAUUUAUUUAUUUAUUUAUUUAUUUAUUGAGAUGGAGUUUCACUCUUGUUGCCCAGGCUGGAGUGCAAUGGUGCUCCGCCUCCCUGGUUCAACCGAUUCUCCUGCCUCAGCCUCCCAAGUAGUUGGGAUUAUAGGCAUGCGCCACCACACCCAGCUAAUUUUGUAUUUUUAGUAGAGACAGGGUUUCACCAUGUUGGUCAGGCUGGUCUUGAACUCCUGACCUCAGGUGAUCCACCCACCUCGACCUCCCAAAGUGCUGGGAUUACAGGUGGGAGCCACCGCGCCAGGCUUUCAGUUUAUUUUUAAUUCAGCUUUUAAAAGCAGGACAUUUGUAACAUCUACAAUAGAGAUAAUUCUUGAGGACAUUAUGCUGAGUGAAUAAGCCAGGCACAGAAAGACAAAGACUGAUUCCAUUCCUGUGAGGUCCCCAGAGGAUUCAUGCCCACAGAGACAGAGGGUAGAAUGGGGGUUCCAGGGCUCGGGUGGGGGUAUGGGGAUUGGUGUGUCAUGGGGAGAGAUUGUCAGGUUUGGAACAUGAAGAAGCUCUGGAGAUGGGUGAUGGUGAUGGCUGCACAACCACAUGAAUGCGCUUAAUGCCACUGAACUGGACACUUAAAAUG